ensembl:lncRNA
UUUGAUAAACUGAGAAGACUGACACGGGAUAUGACACAACUGACCAGGAGGGGCAAGAAUAUAUGAGGCAGCAAGUUAGCUGGGCUCAUCCUUAGGGCUUUAAACUAGACUUGAUGGGGGAAGAGGAUAUACUGCUGAGAAAAAGAGAAGAGUCAGGGAAGACUGCCACUUUAGGAAUUAGCAGGGGAAAACCUCAGAUUGGUCCCAGAGGUUUUUGAGAGGGCUUCUCCAAGAAGGUAAUGCAGCUGAAAGCACACCUGAAGUGCCUCUAUACCAAUGGAAACCAUGGUGCAAUUGGAAAACUAUGCUCUUACUGCUGUCACAGAAACAUGGUGGGAUGACUCUCAUAACUGGAAUACCAUGAUUAAGAGCUAUAAGCUUUUUAGGAGGGAUAGGCAAGGUAGGAGGGGUAGGAGCAAUUGUUCGUCAAGGGAUCCCAGAGGAACUCACUGAUGUGGUUGCCAAGCUGCUCUCCAUCAUAUUUGAAAAACUGAAUCUGUCAGGCAAAGUCCCCAGUGACUGGAAAAAAGGACUGCUGAGUGGUGCAGUUGGCACAACAGAAGGGAGAGACACCAUCCAGAAGGACCUGGACAGGCUCGAAGGCCAAGUGCAACGUGUUGCACUAGGGUCGAGGCAAUACUAGAUAUGAGUACAGACUAGGAGAAGAACUCAUUGAGAAUAGUCUUGUACAGAAGGACUUAGAUAGAGGACCUCUGAAAGAAGAAAAGCUAGACAUGAACCAGCAGUGUGCUCUUGAAGACCCAAAGGCCAACAGUAUCCUAGGCUGCAUCAAAAGAGGAAUGGCCUGCAGGGAGAGGGAGGUGAUUGUCCCCCUUUACAGUGCCCUUGUCAGACCCCGUCUAGAGUAUUGUGUCCAAGCCUGAGGUCCCCAGGAUUGGAAGAAUGUGGAGAGGGUUCUGAGGAGGGCCACAGAGAUGCUCAAAGGGCUGGAGCACCUCUACUAAUGAAGAAAGAUCAAGGGAGUUGGGCAUGUUCAGCCUGAAGAAGUGAAGGCUCUGGGGAGAUUUCGCUGCAGCCUUCCAGUACUUGAAGGGAGCUUACAGUCAGCUUAGUUUGGCAGGAAUAUGCAAUGGAAAGAGACAUUCACAUCACCAGAAGAGCCCUGCAUAAUUUAGCAACAAGAAGAAUUUCCACUCAUUUCUGAGUGAAGUGCCAAAGCCAGGGAAUGCUGGUUAGGGGAGUACAAGCAACUUCAAUCAAUAUAAUUCACCUGAGGCACAUGAAUUUUAAUGGAUGGUAAGUUACAUAAACAGCGCUUUUUCUAAAACAUCCAGCUCUCAAUAACUUCUUUAAAUCAGAGGGGAUGUCUCAAGAACACAAUAAACAGAUUGAUAU